GCGCCCGUAGCUCAAUUGGAUAGAGCGCCUGACUACGGAUCAGGAGGUUAGGGGUUCGACUCCUCUCGGGCGCGCCA
rnacentral:tRNA from 6 species